rnacentral:tRNA from 1 species
GUAAAAGUAGUUUAAUAUAAAACACUGACUUGUGGCGCCAGUAAUACUAUAAAGUCUUUUAUC